CUCUGCUCUGUGGAGGCUGAGAGCAGCUGGGGCCCAGGCCUGGCAGGAUGGGGAGGGGCUGCACAUUUCUCCUCCUCGGGCUCCUCCUGCAGCUCCAGGCUCCCUGUGCCGGGCAGGCUGGGGGGGCAGGUGAGUUCCCGGCUGUCCCUGGCCCACGCUCCCAGCCACUGCUCUGGGCUCUCCCCUGCCCCGCCUAGGAGCAAACAAAGGGGGAAAUGCAGAUGUCCCCUGGCCUGGCCCGGCCUGGGAGGUGUCUGCAGCUCAGCCCAGGGCAGCCCCAGCAGAGGUGCUGUCUGUAGCAAAGGGGGGCUCUGUCCCUCCCCCAACUGGCUCCAGCACUGCUGGGUGGUGACCUUGCUGGGGUGGUGCCAGGUGGAGGUGGGCACUGCCCUGAUGCUCUGUACCAGGCUGAGCCGGGGGCUCCUCUCUUAGCCACACAGCGGUAGAAGCCCAGCUGCACGCUGGGAAGAUGAGGCACCAGGGGCCAGCACUGCCAGGGACAUGCCCAGGGACUCCUGCACCUGGCCAGCUGAGGCCCCUCCCCCCCAUCGCGCCAAUGGGGGUGACCCUUUGGCUGCCCAACCUCCUUGUAUUCCAGGGUCCAGCGCACCCCCCUGGUCAGCAGCAUCUAGCCCCACACCUCAGACCUGGGCUAAGAGCACUGAGACGCCCGCAGGGACUGGUACCCUCACCGUGGGGGCCACAGCACCAGAUGAGCCCAGCUGUGGCAGUGGGCAGCCCUGCCCCCCUUGGAGCACCUGCGUGUCCUGGGCUGGGCACUUCUCCUGCCGCUGCGUCCUGGGCUUCUAUCUCAGCCGGACCAUGGGCUGUGUGCCAGCCAGGACGUUCCCAGGGCGCCUCUCCCUGCGGGCCACCGGCCCAGCACCCCCAAGCCCGCUGCCACCUGCCGACCUGCGCAGGGUCGUCACCCAGCUGGAGAGCCUGUUCCAGCCUAUCCUGGGGCAAUUGGACGCUUAUCUGUCCUCCUCUGUCCUGGACCUGCAGCCGCACAGCCAGGCAGUGACCGUCCUGCACAGCUUCUCGGCGCUCUCGUCCGUCACGGCCCGGCAGGUGGACGGGGCCAUCGCGGGGUUCUGGGAGCGGUGCCAGGCCAGUGACCCAGCCUGCAGCUUCCUGCGGGACACCGUCUCCUACCAGAGUCUGAGUCUCUGUGAACUGCAGCCCUGUGACCCCGUCUCCACAGCCUGCGUGUUCCAGGAUGGGCUGGCCCAGUGCCCCUGCCGGCCGGGAUACCACCCCGUCCCUGCCAACGGCCAUGCCUGCGCAGCCUUCUUGCUGGCGCUGGUUGGGGUGUCCUGCGCUGGGGGCGUCGUCCUGCUGCUGCUGCUGACGGCGCUGCUGCUCCUGGGGUAAGACGGCUGCCAUGCGAACGCUCCCUGGUGUCCCUCCCUCCCCCCCAGGGCGAGGGGAUCC
rnacentral:lncRNA from 1 species